CAAUAGCGUAUAUUAAAGUUGUUGCGGUUAAAAAGCUCGUAGUUGGAUUUCUGUUGAGGUCGGCCGGUGUGCAUUACGUGUAUUAUCAGGUUUGGUCUUGGCAUCCUCUGAGGCACGAGGGACUUUAUUGGCUCUCGAGUUUUCAGACUUUUACUUUGAGGAAAUUAGAGUGUUCACGGCAAGCAAGCGCUUUGAAUACAUUAGCAUGGAAUAAUAAUAUAGGACCUUCGUUCUAUUUUGUUGGUUUCUAGAACUUGGGUAAUGAUUAAUAGGGACAAUUGGGGCAUUCGUAUUAACGCGUCAGAGGUGAAAUUCUUAGAUUGCGUUACGGCGAACUACUGCGAAAGCAUUUGCCAAAGAUGUUUUCAUUGAUCAAGAACGAAAGUAUGGGGAUCGAAGACGAUCAGAU
rnacentral:rRNA from 1 species